rnacentral:rRNA from 1 species
GACGAACGCUGGCGGCGUGCUUAACACAUGCAAGUCGAACGGAGUGCCCUUGAAAGAGGCUUCGGCCAAUGGAUGGGAACACUUAGUGGCGGACUGGUGAGUAACGCGUGAGGAACCUGCCUUUCUAGAGGGGGACGAACAGUUGGAAACGAACUGCUAAUACCGCAUGACACAUCGAGGGGGCGAUCCCUUUCGUAUGUCAAAGAUUUAUUCGCUGAAAGAUGGCCUCGCGUCCCAUUAGCUAGUUGGUGAGGUAACGGCCCACCAAGGCGACGAUGGGUAGCCGGACUGAGAGGUUGACCGGCCACAUUGGGACUGAGAUACGGCCCAG